CCUACGGGAGGCAGCAGUGAGGAAUAUUGGUCAAUGGGCUUACGCCUGAACCAGCCAAGUCGCGUGAGGGAAGACUGCCCUAUGGGUUGUAAACCUCUUUUGUCAGGGAGCAACGCCGGCUACGUGUAGCCGGACUGAGAGUACCUGAAGAAAAAGCAUCGGCUAACUCCGUGCCAGCAGCCGCGGUAAUACGGAGGAUGCGAGCGUUAUCCGGAUUGAUUGGGUUUAAAGGGUGCGUAGGCGGAAUGCCAAGUCAGCGGUAAAAUCGCGGGGCUCAACCUCGCUCCGCCGUUGAAACUGGCGUUCUUGAGUGGGCGAGAAGUAUGCGGAAUGCGUGGUGUAGCGGUGAAAUGCAUAGAUAUCACGCAGAACUCCGAUUGCGAAGGCAGCAUACCGGCGCCCAACUGACGCUGAAACACGAAAGCGUGGGUAUCGAACAGGAUUAGAUACCCUUGUAGUC
rnacentral:rRNA from 1 species